rnacentral:rRNA from 1 species
CUCCUUAACACGUAGUCAACCUGCCCUGGAGACAUGGACAACCCCGGGAAACUGGGAUUAAUCCGUGAUAGGUCAUCUCAUCUGGAAAGAGAGAUGGCUUAAAGGGGUGCGCGGGCUUCUUCCGCGUAUUUGCUCCAGGAUGGGACUGCGUCCGAUCAGGCUGUUGGCGGGGUAAUGGCCCACCAAGCCAGUAACCGGUACGGGCCUUGAGAGAGGUGGCCCGGAGAUGGACACUGAGAGAAGGGUCCAGGUCCUACGGGGCGCAGCAGGCGCGAAACCUUCGCAAUGCGCGAAAGCGUGACGAGGUUAAUCCGAGUGAUUUCCGCUGAGGAGAUCUUUUGUCAGCUGUAAAUAGGCAGGCGAAUAAGGGGAGGGCAAGCCUGGUGUCAGCCGCCGCGGUAAUACCAGCUCCUCGAGUGGUCGGGGCGAUUAUUGGGCCUAAAGCAUCCGUAGCCGGUUCCGUAGGUCCUCUGUUAAAUCCAACCGCUCAACGGUUGACCUGCAGAGGAUACCGCGAGACUAGGAGGCGGGAGAGGCGGACGGUACUCCGCGUGUAGGGGUAAAAUCCUUUGAUCCGCGGAAGA